rnacentral:rRNA from 1 species
GAACCCACGUCUGUUGAAAAAGACAGGGAUGACUUGUGGCUAGGGGUGAAAGGCCAAUCAAACCCGGAAAUAGCUGGUUCUCCGCGAAAACUAUUUAGGUAGUGCGUCACAUGAAUAUUGCCGGGGGUAGAGCACUGGAUGGGCUAGGGGGACCCAAAGUCUUACCAAACCUAACCAAACUCCGAAUACCGGUAAAUACUAUGUGGCAGACAGACGGCGGGUGCUAAGGUCCGUCGUCGAAAGGGAAACAGCCCAGACCGCCAGCUAAGGUCCCAAAGUCAUGGCUAAGUGGGAAAGGAUGUGGGAAGACCAAAACAACCAGGAGGUUGGCUUAGAAGCAGCCACCCUUGAAAGAGUGCGUAAUAGCUCACUGGUCGAGUGAUCCUGCGCGGACAAUGUAACGGGGCUCAAGUACAGAGCCGAAGCUAUGGGCUUCUGACUUUGUCAGGAGCGGUAGAGGAGCGUCGAUAGGGCUGUGAAGCGGAUCCGUAAGGGUUCGUGGAGCGCUAUCGAGUGAGAAUGCAGGCAUGAGUAACGAGAGAGGGGUGAGAAACCCCUCCGCCGAAAGCCCAAGGGUUCCUGGGGAAGGCUAAUCCCCCCAGGGUGAGUCGGGAGCUAAGGCGAGGCCGAAAGGCGUAGUCGAUGGGAACCACGUUAAUAUUCGUGGGCCAAGGGAUGAGUGACGGAUUUCGAAAGUUGUAUCCUCUUAUUGGAUUGAGGAUGCGGCCUGGAAGUCCCAGGAAAUAGCCUCCCUAUUAGACCGUACCCGAAACCGACACAGGUGGGAUGGUAGAGUAUACCGAGGCGCUUGAGAGAAUGGUGUUGAAGGAACUAGGCAAAUUGCACCCGUAACUUCGGGAUAAGGGUGACCCCUUUGCGCGCAAGCGUGGGGGGGUGGCACAAACUAGGGGGUGGCGACUGUUUACUAAAAACACAGGG